rnacentral:misc_RNA from 1 species
UAGUACGAUGACUCGACGCCAUUAAUAGUAUUCUCGUUGACGCGUAGAUUGUUUUGCACGUAAAUCAUUUUUUCGAAUGAUUUUCUCGUCAAAGGAACUCUGUUCGAUUAUUCUCCGAUAAUUUCUUCUAAGGAGAUGCGAUAAAUCACGAUCGAUGAUCACAUAAGUGACUUGAAAAUAUUUCAUUUUAAUAAAAGAAGAAAAGGUUGCAUACAACUGGUCGACACAACGCUUUCUAUUCUAAUUAUACGUUUUGUGUUUACAACGAUUAAUAACAGUGGUCAUUUAAAAGUUGGUUACCCUGAUCUGACGACGCCCAACUGUUAAUAAUAAGUAGGUGGAGCAUUGCUUACGUUUGAAAAGGAAGUUAGAUCAUCGGUGUUUUCAUUCAUCAAAACGUGAAUGAUAGUACGAACGUUGCAUAUUUAAGAAACUGUAAUUUCCAGUAUCAAAAUGACGGCUGUACAAUCCUGCUGGUCUCCAUGCAUUUGGACGAAUAAUAUUAAAACAGGAUCCAAAGUUGUUGCAUGUUAUACAAUGGCAUUGAGUAUCGUACUAAUUACUUUAAUAUGCUAUCAAAUGAACGGUGGAGAUUCAACGCAGUUAUACAAUCCUCUUUUUGAAGCAGAUGUCAGAGGAUCGAUGCAAGUUUUUGGAAGCAUUUUAAUCGUUUACUUCUUACUUCUUGCCAUCUCUGCCAUUUUAAUGAUAUAUGGAAUCCGUGAAGGUGUACGAGGAUUUUUGUUGCCAUGGUUGGUCCUGUGGUUUUUUUUUAUCUCCUUCCUCUGUGUAUUUGGAUUAUGGCUAUUAGGAGGAUAUUAUAUUUAUUUGGAAUCUGUAUUUAUUACACUAUGUAUUUGGCUUUGGAUGGGAUAUAAUAUAUACUGUUGGUUGGUCGUCUAUUCUAUGUAUAAAAUAUUUGAAGUACUACAGUCGCCUAAUAUUGAAUUACUUUGGCCAUGAAAGGUAUAUUGCAAUAAUGCAAUAAUGUAAAAAAGUGCCUUUUUCUACAUACUCAACACCAAAGUAAGCUGGAAUCCUUAACAUCAACGUUGUGUUCUUUUUUACUUCACUAGUAUCUAGUUUUAGGAAGAAGUCUGAUCUGCCACACAUCCGUCCACAUUCCAUAGACUUGAUAUAAUGUAUGACUUGUAAAGGAAAUAUGAAGGCACAUUACAGUGACUGAUGGAAUAAAUGAAUUGGAUGAUAUAAAGUUGUUAGCAGUGUAGCUGUUGAAAAAGCUUUUUAUACAAUUAUACAAGAAUAUGCACUUUUUUGUGCAACUACAAAGUUCUUAUAUUUUUCAUAUGAGCUUUAGAAUACCAACUUUACUAACAGUACAAGUAAAAUAUUUACAUAUUUAUACAUAAUAAUUAUUUACUUAUUUUUUUAAUUUUAUAUUUCUAUGACGUACAUUUGUAUGUAAUAUAUGUUAUGUAUACAUGUCGCUUUAUUAUCAUUAUUUUUAAAUGAAAUCUUUUAUUAUAUAUAUAACGUUUGAAUUAUAGACUAUAUGAAUUAUUACCGAUGUUAAUAUGAACUAUUAUUGAUAAUAAUUUAUACAUGUAAAAGAAUUUAUGUUACCUUAAUUAUAAUCUACAUCAUAAUGAAAAAUAAAUACAUAAAUUAUAAUUCAAAAACAAAGAUAAAAUUCAUGACACACAUAUUCGAUACAUGAAUAAUAUUGUAUAUUGGUAUAAACUCAAGACGUGUAGAACUUUAGCGACAAGUAUAGGCAAAAUGUUAAUUAGACGCAUUAAUAAACUAAAUUAGUAUUAGUAAAUUGAACUCAUACUUUUGAAUCUUUCAUAUCUGCGCUAGAUAGGAUACAGAACCAAUGCAAUUUUGAUUUACAACAUAUCUCAAAAAGAAUGAUAAUUAAUAGAAUUAAUAAAACAUAAUAAUAUAUACUGUACAUUAUUUUAUAAUAAAAAUCAGAAUACACAAAUAAAUCUCUACAGUACCUAU